rnacentral:rRNA from 1 species
UACGUAGGCAGCGAGCGUUGUUCGGAAUUACUGGGCGUAAAGCGCGUGUAGGUGGCGAUGUAAGUCGGGUGUGAAAUCCCUCAGCUUAACUGAGGAAGUGCACUCGAUACUGUGUCGCUUGAGUGUUGGAGGGGGUGGCGGAAUUCCCGGUGUAGAGGUGAAAUUCGUAGAUAUCGGGAGGAACACCUGUGGCGAAGGCGGCCAUCUGGACAACUACUGACACUGAGACGCGAAAGCGUGGGUAGCAAACAGG